GCCCCUCUAGUUUAAUGGUCUAACACACCGCUGAGCCGACCACUUCCCUUCCGAAGUGGUCGAGGGUUCGAACCCUGGGGGGCA